rfam:Entamoeba invadens IP1 unplaced genomic scaffold scaff_1105074725509, whole genome shotgun sequence.
GGGGAUGUAGCUCAUUUGGUAGAGCUUUCGCUUCGCAUGCGAAGGGCAAGGGGAUCGAUACCCCUCAUCUCCA